UGUGUGUGUGUGUGUGUGUGUGUGUGCGUGCGUGCGUGCGUGCGUGCGUGCGUGUAUGUGUGUGUGUUUACAAAUGUAUAAAUGUGAGAACAUGAACUAUGUCUGUGGCCUUUUUAUGUCCUAAUCAAGUUAGUCACAUACUGUGCUCUGAUUGGUCAGAUCAUCCAGCUAGCCGUCCCUCUCAUUGGAGGAUAAUAAUGGUGAUGAUUGUACCUCCUUCUUGACUGUCCUAAGGUCUGAUCAUCAAAGGUUUAUUUGCACUGUACUGUAUAGAAAAAGGUGAAUUAAAUGUCAAUAUUGCAAUGAGCGGUUACUGAAUAAAGGACUCAUUUUCAAAACCUU